AGUGAACGCUGGCGGCAGGCCUAACACAUGCAAGUCGAGCGGCAGCGGGUCCUUCGGGCUGCCGGCGAGCGGCGGACGGGUGAGGAAUAAAUCGGAAUCUGCCCUGUCGUGGGGGAUAACCUAGGGAAACUUAGGCUAAUACCGCAUACGACCUACGGGUGAAAGCGGGGGAUCGCAAGACCUCGCGCGACAGGAUGAGCCGAUGUCCGAUUAGCUAGUUGGCGGGGUAAAGGCCCACCAAGGCGACGAUCGGUAGCUGGUCUGAGAGGAUGACCAGCCACACUGGGACUGAGACACGGCCCAGACUCCUACGGGAGGCAGCAGUGGGGAAUAUUGGACAAUGGGCGCAAGCCUGAUCCAGCCAUGCCGCGUGGGUGAAGAAGGCCUUCGGGUUGUAAAGCCCUUUUGUCCGGGAAGAAAUCGUCUGGGCUAAUACCCCGGGCGGAUGACGGUACCGGAAGAAUAAGCACCGGCUAACUUCGUGC
rnacentral:rRNA from 1 species